ACCAUUUCUAGUGGUUAGAGUAGUAAUAUUUAUAAUAACAAACGAUUGUUACAAUAUUAGUAUGUGUCCAACACCACAGUACACGAUUUAUAGACUAUUUUAUUCCUAACACAACCUCAAGGUUUGUGCACAUUUAUUUUCUUCACUUUCCAAAUAAGUAUCUUUUUAAUGAGUUUCAAGACUAAUGUGGCUGGGCACGGUGGCUCACGCCUGUAAUCACAGCACUUUGGGAGCUCGAAGCGGGGGGAUCAUGAGGUCAGGAAAUCGAGACCAUCCUGGCUAACACGGCGAAACCCCGUCUCUACUAAAAAUACAAAAAAUUAGCCGGGCAUGGUGGAGGGCGCCUGUAGUCCCAGCUACUUGGGAGGCUGAGGCAGGAAAAUGGCGUGAACCCGGGAGGUGGAGCUUGCAGUGAAUCGAGAUCGUGCCACUGCACUCCAGCCUGGGCAACAGAGCAAGACUCUGUCUCAAAAAAAAAAAAAAAAAAAGGAAAGAAAAAUACUAAUGUAUGCAAUUAGUAACUGUUUGAGCCAUGAUUCCACAUCAGGCAGUCCUAUUUUAAAGCCUAUGCUCUUCACUAUUAGAUAAUCAAAAUAUGAACACUUUUAUGAAGAGUGAAUAUGUUUGCUUUUCCACUUGAAUGAGAGAUUAUUGAAGGCACUCUCUAUUAUUAAUUUUGGUUCUUGAGCACAUGGCCUGGUCUAUAUUAGAUAGAUUUAGAAUAAAUUAAUGAGGAAAUGAAUGAUUAUGUAAAUUUAAAAAGGUUAAGUGAUUGCUAAAGUUCACCUAGAGAAUAGCAAUCAUGUCAGGCCUUCUUAACUUUAGUUUCCUAUUUUCUGUGACAGGCUGUUCUAAUAUCUGUAACCAGACUCCUUGUUUCAGGACAGUAGGCAUAUGCCUAUGCUGUUCCUUGCCAGAAGCAGAAUGGCACCAAGACUAAUUACACUGAUUUGAGCCUCCUGAGAAAAGGCCCUGUGAGGACAUAGCAAGAAGGCAACUAUCAGCAAGCCAGGAAGAAGGCCCUCACCAGAACUCAAUUCUGCUAGCACCCUGAUUUUGGACUUACAGUCUCAAGAACCAAGAGAAAUAAAAUUCUGUUGUUUAAACCA